UGGGGAAUUUUGGACAAUGGACGAAAGCCUGAUCCAGCAAUGCCGCGUGUGUGAAGAAGGCCUUCGGGUUGUAAAGCACUUUUGUCCGGAAAGAAAUCCUUGGCUCUAAUACAGUCGGGGGAUGACGGUACCGGAAGAAUAAGCACCGGCUAACUACGUGCCAGCAGCCGCGGUAAUACGUAGGGUGCAAGCGUUAAUCGGAAUUACUGGGCGUAAAGCGUGCGCAGGCGGUUUGCUAAGACCGAUGUGAAAUCCCCGGGCUCAACCUGGGAACUGCAUUGGUGACUGGCAGGCUAGAGUAUGGCAGAGGGGGGUAGAAUUCCACGUGUAGCAGUGAAAUGCGUAGAGAUGUGGAGGAAUACCGAUGGCGAAGGCAGCCCCCUGGGCCAAUACUGACGCUCAUGCACGAAAGCGUGGGGAGCAAACAGGAUUAGAUACCCUGGUAGUCCACGCCCUAAACGAUGUCAACUAGUUGUUGGGGAUUCAUUUCCUUAGUAACGUAGCUAACGCGUGAAGUUGACCGCCUGGGGAGUACGGUCGCAAGAUUAAAACUCAAAGGAAUUGACGGGGUCAUAGCUG
rnacentral:rRNA from 1 species